ensembl:lncRNA
AAAGAAAUAAAAACUCAUCAGUCGAAUCAGUUUAGAAUAAUUUGAUUGCUAGAUGGGAAGGCAACGUUUACAGAGGGCGGGGCUUCACUGCCCCGGCUCACUGAAGACGACAGCGGUAUAUCUGACAGAGGAAACGGUAGGAGCACGAAGUUUGUUUCUGUGCUACAUUUGUGUUUCCUUUUCAUGUGUGAGGAUGUAGCUCCGUCCGUCACUCCUGCUCGCACCAGAGUUUUAUUCCCACGGUGCCCUGUCCAUAGUCAUCGCAGGCUGUGAUCUGGCUGCUAACUAUGAGGACAGAUUGAUGAUGUGGAAGCUCCUGCCCUAUGUGACUUUUGUCUUGGAUGUGGCCUCUCAGCAGUUAUGUGUCUCUCAACACAUCAACAUUUGAAACUACACCUAAUAAAGGAGCAAAUGGAGAAAGAGAAUCAAGACUGGAUGUGAUAGUGGCCUAUGCUCAAGUAGUUAUAAUAUUCGUUGCAGCAGUUUUAUUCUUUCUGUGGGGCCUGAAGGAAGCAAUCGAAGCUCCAAAAAUAAGGGUAUGCAUUUGUGUUUGUUUUCAGUGGAACAGUUUUUUUUCUUAUGAUAAAUGCAUUUUUUAAAAAUCCACUUAUGUCCUUUCAGUGUUACAGAUCAACACCUGGACAGAUGUUCCUUUAUCAAGCUCCUCAAAGUAUCAACAUUUUGUAAAGUGCUUUUGCAAAAGUUGGCUCCUGGAGUGGGGUUCUCGCCUCAGUCAUCCCCGCUCUCCUGGACCUGGGCCCCCAGCUGCUGGUACAGCAUCGCCAACUAGCCCGCCUCUCACCUGCCUGCCUCCCCACGCCUCGACCUCAUCCGGGCCUUGCGCCCCACCUGUCCCCUCCACCUGAAACCAAUGCACCGGUCACUUCAUAGUACUUUUCCCGGCCCAAGCUUCCACCUCCCCACUGCCACAGCUGUAUUCUACAGCUGUCUAGCUUUCCUUUAGUUGACUAGUUUUGACUGCGCGUCCACUAGUGUAGUGGCGUCAUUUUGAUUUGGCUUGUGUUUAAUUGUGGGGAGAGAAAUAAACCUUUUGGUUCACUCACUCUCGCUUCCGGUUUGGAUUCUGCACUUGUGUCCAUCCCACUUACCUUGUAAAUGGUAAAUGGCCUGUAUUUAUAUAGCGCUUUACUAGUCCCUAAGGACCCCAAAGCUUUACAUAUCCAGUCAUUCACCCAUUCACACACACAUUCACACACUGGUGAUGGCAAGCUACGUUGUAGCCACAGCCACCCUGGGGCGCACUGACAGAGGCGAGGCUGCCGGACACUGGCGCCACCGGGCCCUCUGACCACCACCAGUAGGCAACGGGUGAAGUGUCUUGCCCAAGGACACAACGACCGAGACUGUCCGAGCCGGGGCUCGAACCGGUAACCUUCCGAUUACAAGGCGAACUCC